CUACGGGAGGCAGCAGUGGGGAAUAUUGCACAAUGGGCGGAAGCCUGAUGCAGCAACGCCGCGUGAGGGAUGACGGCCUUCGGGUUGUAAACCUCUUUUAGCAGGGAAGAAGCGAAAGUGACGGUACCUGCAGAAAAAGCGCCGGCUAACUACGUGCCAGCAGCCGCGGUAAUACGUAGGGCGCAAGCGUUAUCCGGAAUUAUUGGGCGUAAAGAGCUCGUAGGCGGUUUGUCGCGUCUGCUGUGAAAUCCCGAGGCUCAACCUCGGGCCUGCAGUGGGUACGGGCAGACUAGAGUGCGGUAGGGGAGAUUGGAAUUCCUGGUGUAGCGGUGGAAUGCGCAGAUAUCAGGAGGAACACCGAUGGCGAAGGCAGAUCUCUGGGCCGUAACUGACGCUGAGGAGCGAAAGGGUGGGGAGCAAACAGGCUUAGAUACCCUGGUAGUCCACCCCGUAAACGUUGGGAACUAGUUGUGGGGACCAUUCCACGGUUUCCGUGACGCAGCUAACGCAUUAAGUUCCCCGCCUGGGGAGUACGGCCGCAAGGCUAAAACUCAAAGGAAUUGACGGGGACCCGCACAAGCGGCGGAGCAUGCGGAUUAAUUCGAUGCAACGCGAAGAACCUUACCAAGGCUUGACAUAUACGAGAACGGGCCAGAAAUGGUCAACUCUUUGGACACUCGUAAACAGGUGGUGCAUGGUUGUCGUCAGCUCGUGUCGUGAGAUGUUGGGUUAAGUCCCGCAACGAGCGCAACCCUCGUUCUAUGUUGCCAGCACGUAAUGGUGGGAACUCAUGGGAUACUGCCGGGGUCAACUCGGAGGAAGGUGGGGAUGACGUCAAAUCAUCAUGCCCCUUAUGUCUUGGGCUUCACGCAUGCUACAAUGGCCGGUACAAAGGGCUGCAAUACCGUGAGGUGGAGCGAAUCCCAAAAAGCCGGUCCCAGUUCGGAUUGAGGUC
rnacentral:rRNA from 1 species